UAUAACGUCUGAUUAGGCUUGUGAAGACCAGCAAGUCCUGACCAACAACCAGACAGAGAACAGCGAGAAUGACUCUGAGGAAGGGUCUAGACACGAGGACCAAACUGCCUUAGAAGAGCCAUCUGUUAUGGUGAGGCUGGGUCCAAACAGUGUUGACAUGACAGAGGAGGAAUUGGAGGU